AAUGAACGUUGGCGGCGUGGAUUAGGCAUGCAAGUCGUACGCACAGCUUCGGCUGUGAGUGGCGCAAGGUGAGUAAUGCGAAGGUAACCAACCCUGGAGUUGGGCAUAACCGCGGGAAACUGCGGGUAAUUCCCAGCGAUGUCGCGAGAUGGCAUCAUCUUGCGACCAAAAGGUGUGAUUCCGCUCUAGGACGGGCCUUCGUGGUAUUAGGUAGUUGGUGAGGUAACGGCUCACCAAGCCGACGAUGCCUACCGGGUGUGAGAGCAUGACCCGGCACACUGGAACUGAGACACUGUCCAGACACCUACGGGUGGCUGCAGUCGAGAAUCUUCGGCAAUGGGCGAAAGCCUGACCGAGCGACGCCGCGUGAGGGAAGAAGGGCCCUUCGGGUUGUAAACCUCUUUCGUAGAGGAGGAAGGGGCCGUGCGGAGCGGUCUUUGACCUAUUCUAGGAAGAAGCUUGGGCUAAGUUCGUGCCAGCAGCCGCGGUAAU
rnacentral:rRNA from 1 species